rnacentral:rRNA from 1 species
CCUUCGGGGGCAAAGUGACAGGUGGUGCAUGGUUGUCGUCAGCUCGUGUCGUGAGAUGUUGGGUUAAGUCCCGCAACGAGCGCAACCCUUAUUGUUAGUUGCCAUCAUUUAGUUGGGCACUCUAGCAAGACUGCCGGUGACAAACCGGAGGAAGGUGGGGAUGACGUCAAAUCAUCAUGCCCCUUAUGACCUGGGCUACACACGUGCUACAAUGGGAAGUACAACGAGUCGCAAAGUCGCGAGGCUAAGCUAAUCUCUUAAAGCUUCUCUCAGUUCGGAUUGUAGGCUGCAACUCGCCUACAUGAAGCCGGAAUCGCUAGUAAUCGCGGAUCAGCACGCCGCGGUGAAUACGUUCCCGGGCCUUGUACACACCGCCCGUCACACCACGAGAGUUUGUAACACCCGAAGUCGGUGAGGUAACCUUUUGGAGCCAGCCGCCUAAGGUGGGA